rnacentral:rRNA from 2 species
AAGGUAGCGAAAUUCCUUGUCGGGUAAGUUCCGACCUGCACGAAUGGCGUAACGAUCUCCACACUGUCUCGGCCAGAGACUCGGUGAAAUUGAAGUCGCGGUGAAAAUGCCGUGUACCCGCAGAAAGACGGAAAGACCCUGUGCACCUUUACUAUAGCUUGACAUUGGGAUUUGAGCCUGCAUGUGUAGCAUAGGUGGGAGGCUGUGAACUCUGUACGCCAGUAUGGAGGGAGCCAUCGUUGAAAUACCACCCUUGUUUGUUCAGGUCCCUAACUCUUCGCCGUGAUCCGGUAAGAGGACAGUGUCUGGUGGGUAGUUUGACUGGGGCGGUCGCCUCCCAAAAUGUAACGGAGGCAUGCAAAGGUUCCCUCAGGCUGAUUGGAAACCAGCCGUCGAGUGCAAACGCAAAAGGGAGCUUGACUGCAAGAGAGACAUCUCGAGCAGGUACGAAAGUAGGUGUUAGUGAUCCGGUGAUCCCGAAUGGAAGGGUCAUCGCUCAUUGGAUAAAAGGUACGCCGGGGAUAACAGGCUGAUCGCAUCCAAGAGUUCACAUCGACGAUGCGGUUUGGCACCUCGAUGUCGGCUCAUCACAUCCUGGGGCUGAAGCAGGUCCCAAGGGUACGGCUGUUCGCCGUUUAAAGUGGUACGCGAGCUGGGUUUAAAACGUCGUGAGACAGUUUGGUCCCUAUCUUCUGUGGGCGAAGGAGAAUUGAGAGGGCCUGUCCCUAGUACGAGAGGACCGGGAUGGACGCACCCCUGGUGAUCCUGUUGUCGCGCCAGCGGCAUAGCAGGGUAGCUAUGUGCGGAAGGGAUAACCGCUGAAAGCAUCUAAGCGGGAAGCCUGCCUCAAGAUAAGUUCUCCCCUCGAAAGAGCUGAAGGGCCCGGGUAGACUACCCGGUCGAUAGGCUGGAGGUGUAAGCGCGGCGACGUGCUCAGCUGACCAGUACUAAUAGCCCGAGCGGCUUAUUUUU